rnacentral:rRNA from 1 species
CCCUUAGAUGUUCUGGGCAGCACGCGCGCUACAAUGGUCUUCGCAAACGGAUGCAUUCUCGAAGGAGAAUGCCAAUCUUGGAAUCUAUGCCUUGGUCGGGACAGUUGCUUGCAAUUUUUCGACUCGAACCAGGAAUUCUUGUAAUCGUGAUUCAUCACAUCACGAUGAAUACGUCCCUGCCCUUUGUACACACCGCCCGUCGCUCCUACCGAUCGAAGAGUUAGGUGAAUUGUUUUGAUCGAUAAGAUUUGACUAUGGUCAACUCUCGUUGUGAAAUUCUGUGAAUCUGACUGUUUAGAGGAAGGAAAAGUCGUAACA